UAGAGUUUGAUCAUGGCUCAGAUUGAACGCUGGCGGCAGGCUUAACACAUGCAAGUCGAGCGGAAACGAUGGGAGCUUGCUCCCAGGCGUCGAGCGGCGGACGGGUGAGUAACGCGUAGGAAUCUACCCAGUAGUGGGGGAUAGCCCGGGGAAACUCGGAUUAAUACCGCAUACGCCCUACGGGGGAAAGGCCGGGAUCUUCGGACCGGUCGCUAUUGGAUGAGCCUGCGUUGGAUUAGCUAGUUGGUAGGGUAAAGGCCUACCAAGGCGACGAUCCAUAGCUGGUCUGAGAGGAUGAUCAGCCACACUGGAACUGAGACACGGUCCAGACUCCUACGGGAGGCAGCAGUGGGGAAUAUUGCACAAUGGGCGCAAGCCUGAUCCAGCCAUGCCGCGUGUGUGAAGAAGGCUCUAGGGUUGUAAAGCACUUUCAGUAGGGAGGAAGGCCAGAGUGUUAAUAGCGCUUUGGAUUGACGUUACCUACAGAAGCAGCACCGGCUAACUCCGUGCCAGCAGCCGCGGCAAUACGGAGGGUGCAAGCGUUAAUCGGAAUUACUGGGCGUAAAGCGCGCGUAGGCGGUUUGUUAAGUGUGAUGUGAAAGCCCAGGGCUCAACCUUGGAACUGCAUCACAUACUGGCAAGCUAGAGUACUGUAGAGGGGGGUAGAAUUUCA
rnacentral:rRNA from 1 species